rnacentral:rRNA from 1 species
UACAGAGGUCCCGAGCGUUGUUCGGAUUCACUGGGCGUAAAGGGUGCGUAGGUGGUGAGGUAAGUCGGAUGUGAAAGCUCCGAGCUCAACUCGGAAAUGGCAUUGGAAACUACCUUGCUAGAGGGUUGGAGGGGGGACUGGAAUACUUGGUGUAGCAGUGAAAUGCGUAGAUAUCAAGUGGAACACCAGUGGCGAAGGCGAGUCCCUGGACAACUCCUGACACUGAGGCACGAAAGCUAGGGGAGCAAACAGG